UACGUAGGGUGCGAGCGUUGUCCGGAAUUAUUGGGCGUAAAGAGCUCGUAGGCGGUGUGUCACGUCGGCCGUGAAAACCUGCAGCUUAACUGUGGGCGUGCGGUCGAUACGGGCAUCACUGGAGUUCGGCAGGGGAGACUGGAAUUCCUGGUGUAGCGGUGAAAUGCGCAGAUAUCAGGAGGAACACCGGUGGCGAAGGCGGGUCUCUGGGCCGAUACUGACGCUGAGGUGCGAAAGCGUGGGGAGCAAACAGG
rnacentral:rRNA from 1 species